UGUUUCGCAAAACUAAAGUACACUUUGGUGGCUCAUAAACCUCAACGGUGCACGCCUUGCCUCUAUUCUUCUAUUUCUCAAAUGAUCACGGGGGCCGUGACGAUUCUAUCAGAAAGGUCUCGUUCGUCGUAAAUGGCUGUUUUCAAAGGCCUUUGCCGACCAUCCUGGUAUAUCACCACCCAUAAUUCCGAGUCCCCUCUUUCUCUCUUUUUUCAAUUUUAUGAUUAUUUUAUAUAUACAUGUUUUGAAUCGUUACAGCUAUUGAUGUUGGUUCAAAAUCGGCCGAUGAUUAAAUAUUUUUAAUGACAAGCAUAUGUCUGAAAUAUUUCCUGUUCAAAUGACUAAUCUUCUCUACGAGGCUGAAUAAAUUAAUUUUGAUCUGU